ensembl:lncRNA
UGAUCAACCUCCUCAGACUGUGCAGCCUCAUAAAAGGGCGCAAAGCCUCAGUUUAUGCACUUUUCUGCCCUGUUGUUUGUUUUUUUGUGCAUGCUGGUGUCAGGGAGAGAAAGAACGGCUAUUGAAUGGGCUUCUGCCAGCAGGAGAGAAAAUUACAAGGAAUGAAAAUUCUUCAAGUUUGGUCUUUAGAACAAUCAUACGAAAAUAGGACAGUAGAGAGACAACAGGAAAGCACUGGGAGGAGAGAGGGGAGCGGGAUCGGCAAAGGACCUCGAAACGGGAAUCAAACUCGGGUCACCUUGAGUGCAGUAGCUCUGUAUGUCGACGUACUAACCCCGAGGCUAUUGGCACCAACUUUUUCCCCAUUCUCAAGGAUGUUUUGUGAAUCUGGCCUCAAAAUAUCAUAGAGGCUUUGGGCAGUUUUGAUUUGGGCCAGAAAGCAAACACCCAGAAAACCCUAGUAACC